AGAAAAAAAUAUGGAAGUAUGUUCACAGUACGCUUUGGACCAAGGCCUGUCAUCAUACAGUGUGGGACAGACACCAUAAGGGAGGCUCUGGUAGACCAUGGUGUGUUCUUUGCCAAUUGAGAAUGCUGGAAGAUCCUUCAGUGAUUCUUUCUGGCCACCAUGACAGACUUUGGGAUGGGAAAGCAGAGUGUGGAAGAGAAGAAAAAGGAAAAGGCCCAAUGCUUAGUGGAGGAAGUGAAGUAAUACCAUGAGAACCCUUACUAAUGCAAGCAUUGGUGUGAUUCUUGGGAGAUUUAAAGGGAAACAUGCAGGAAUCUGAGUUCAGAAACAUGCAGCUCAAGGGCCAUGGGCUGAGGAGGC